UACGUAGGGGGCAAGCGUUGUCCGGAAUUAUUGGGCGUAAAGAGCUCGUAGGCGGUUUGUCGCGUCUGCUGUGAAAACUCGGGGCUUAACCCCGGGCCUGCAGUGGGUACGGGCAGACUAGAGUGCGGUAGGGGAGACUGGAAUUCCUGGUGUAGCGGUGAAAUGCGCAGAUAUCAGGAGGAACACCGGUGGCGAAGGCGGGUCUCUGGGCCGUAACUGACGCUGAGGAGCGAAAGCGUGGGGAGCGAACAGGG
rnacentral:rRNA from 1 species